rnacentral:rRNA from 1 species
ACGGCGAGUGAGCGGCAACAGCUCAAAUUUGAAAGCUAGCCUUCGGGUUCGCAUUGUAAUUUGUAGAGGAUGAUUUGGGGAAGCCGCCUGUCUAAGUUCCUUGGAACAGGACGUCAUAGAGGGUGAGAAUCCCGUAUGUGACAGGAAAUGGCACCCUAUGUAAAUCUCCUUCGACGAGUCGAGUUGUUUGGGAAUGCAGCUCUAAAUGGGAGGUAAAUUUCUUCUAAAGCUAAAUAUUGGCGAGAGACCGAUAGCGCACAAGUAGAGUGAUCGAAAGAUGAAAAGCACUUUGGAAAGAGAGUUAAAAAGCACGUGAAAUUGUUGAAAGGGAAGCGCUUGCAAUCAGACUUGUUUAAACUGUUCGGCCGGUCUUCUGACCGGUUUACUCAGUUUGGACAGGCCAGCAUCAGUUUCGGCGGCCGGAUAAAGGCUCUGGGAAUGUGGCCUCCACUUCGGUGGAGGUGUUAUAGCCCAGGGUGUAAUACGGCCAGCCGGGACUGAGGUCCGCGCUUCGGCUAGGAUGCUGGCGUAAUGGUUGUAAGCGACCCGUCUUGA